GGGAGGGGUGCAAGCGUUACCCGGAAUCAUUGGGCGUAAAGCGUCCGCAGGUGGUUUAUUAAGUCAGAUAUUAAAUCUUGGGGCCCAACUCCAAGGCUGUAUCUGAAACUAGUAGACUAGAGUCUUUCAGGGGCAUGCAGAAUUUUGUGUGUAGGGGUAAAAUCCGUAGAUACACAAAGGAAUACCAAAAGCGAAGGCAGCAUGCUGGGAAAGUACUGACACUCAUGGACGAAAGCGUGGGUAGCGAACGGGAUUAGAUACCCCGGUAGUCCACGCCGUAAACGAUGGAUACUAGUUGUUGGAGGGCUCGACCCUUUCAGUGACGACGCUAACGCAUUAAGUAUCCCGCCUGGGGAGUACGGUCGCAAGAUUA
rnacentral:rRNA from 1 species